rfam:Brassica rapa chromosome A7, whole genome shotgun sequence.
GGAAUAUAAGAAACCGUCUCUUAACUUUUAACUAAAAAAAACUAAGAACCCGCUUAAAUAUCUUAUUUAAGAACCGAUUCUUAGUUUUUUUAGUUAAAAGUUAAGGGACAAUUUCUUAUAUUCC